rnacentral:lncRNA from 1 species
AAAAAUCAAGAAACUCAUUUCAAACUUGUAUUUUGCAUUGACUAGUAAAUAAAGUAGAUAAGUUAAGAAAAGCUUCGUCUCAUUUUCCAAUGGGAAAACAAAAACGCCGCAAAUAGUGUCUGUUGCUUUCGCCUCAGAAUUCAAUAUUGUUAGAAAUGGAUAUUGGGUCCAUUUCUCUCUUAAAAGGCCUUAUAAGGGAGAAUGAUACGCCAAGCCCAUCCCCUAGCUUGGCCCUAUUAUGAUCUAGCCCAUUAGCCCAUUAGGUUUUUAUUAUUAGGUAUAAAUAAUGUAAUCUCUAAGUUUAUUGGAUAUGAAAUGAAUAUGUUGGUUGUUUUGUCAAAUCUCUCCCUUCUCUCUUGAUUUAUGGAGUUUGAGNAUAAUUAAAUAGAUCAUUUUAACGUUUAGCAAAGCUCAAACUAAUUUUAAAAGUUCAAAUUAAUGUUUAAAGCCCAUUAUUUAAUUCUAUGAAUUAUUUUAAAAGCCCUAUAGGCAAAUUCUAUUUCUCUCUCUCUCUACUCUUUCACCUUCUCCAUUUUCAUUCUCUUCUUGUGUGGGUGCAGCGAGUCCACGUAAAUAUUACUUUAAAAAAAUCGAAGUGCAUCACCGUUGAUACGGAUCCGUAUCAAUGGUGGAGCAAUUCGAGUCGCUCAAACUCCAUAAAUCAAGAGAGAAGAGAGAGAUUUGACAAAACCAAAAUAUUCAUUUCAUAUCCAAUAAACUUAGAGAUUACAUUAUUUAUACCUAAUAAUAAAAACCUAAUGGGCUAAUGGGCUAGAUCAUAAUAGGGCCAAGCUAGGGGAUGGGCUUGGCGUAUCAUUCCCCACCCCUUCACAAUCACCUUGUCCUCAAGGUGAAGCUACAAAAAAUGGUGAUGGGAGUACAAGAUUCGGCCCACUAAUUGCAAAAACAAAACUAAAUAGUGCCGAAAUAACAACUGCCCGACAACUUCUUGAUAAAAGCUACGACUGAAAAUCAACUAAGAAGCUUGAUAAACUACGCCCACCAUAUGCUCGACAAAAGCUCCGGCUAAAAACUGAUGCGGAUCAGCUAGGCAUGCCCACGAGAUCCGGCGGCGGUUCGCCACAUAGCUGGACUUCUUGACCAAGUCCACGAUCCUUCUCCUUGACAUCGACGGCGUGAUGUGGCGCGGACAAUAGCAGAGACAAGCCUUGAGGCCGUGGAAGAACCCCAAUUUUAUAAUCUCGGAGAAAGCAACGGAGACGGGCCUGGGCACUUGGGCCGUGGGCAGCCACAAUCAAAGCUUUAGGGCCACUCAUAUUGGGCCCAAAUAUAUUGAUUGGGUUGGGCUCUUCAUUCUUAGACUUGGGCCCAAUCGAAAUCUGAAACAACUGAUUCAACGUCUCAUGAGAAACCCUGACUCGCCACAGAUUAAUUGAAGUUAUCGGUAACCAUGUUAAAAAUUGAUAUUGAGUCAAUUCCUCCCUUAAAAGGCCUUAGAAGGGAGAGGGUUGCCUCAUCAUAUAAAGUGGCUCAUGCCACUAUCUCCAAUUCAACGUGGGACACUUCAAUAUAUUGACUAUAUCACGCA